rnacentral:lncRNA from 1 species
UUAAAAUGAUGAUAAGGUUACUCACUAUUUCAAAAGUCGAAUUUUUAGAGUACUCCGACUAUCUAUCAUCGGGUACAAUUUCUUUGCCUUUAUCGGAGGAUUCACUACCUAGACAUAAUACACAAUCAAACAAUUUACCACAUUGGUGCUAAACCGUUAUAAAACUAUAUGAAUGCAUGAAAUGGAAUGUAAAUUAUUCGGAUUAUUGUCUAAACGCGGUGUUUUACACAAAUUCAAUUGUGUACCUAAAUAAAACGGUAUUGGCCCAAUUCGAUCUAUCACCCGAUUAAUUGGCCAAUAUGUCCAAUUCAACUCCAAUUAACUCCAUUUUUCUUUCAAUUCUCCAAAUUAUCAAACACAAGUCAAAUAGCAUAAAAUUUAGCAAAAUCAACUUCACAUUUUCUUUUGGAAAUUUCGGCCAUGGUGGGUGCAUCAACUGUCACGACCCGAAACCUCCCUCAGGCCCAUGACAAUCGCCGCGACGUCCCGAUUGACACUCAUUAUUCGGAAUGCCAACCGGAACCCCGCAGGGCUUACAUAUCAGUUUCUUUCCUUUCCUGUGAGCAAUCAUUGUUAAAUAUCGAGUUUUUAGAGAAUAUAUACUAUUUUAGAUAAAAAACAAUCAAAAUAAAAUUUUCGCCACACAAGGGUAUUUUGGUCAUUUUUUUUUCAAAAAUUUCGAAACUGGCUAAAACGUAAUAUACAAGUACAAAACACAUAAUUCAUAUUCAAAAUGAGUUUAAAAGUCUAAAAUCUUCAUUUAAAACGAAAUUACGGUUAUUUGAAUAUAAUAAGAAAAUAAAAGAAAUAUUAAGGAAAAUAUUCUAUUUUCUUAUAAAACAAUAUUUAUAGAGUUAUACGUGAAUAAUUUUUAUAGCGUAAAAGCUAAAUAAAUUUAUACAUACUGAAAUACAGUAAGCCAAAAUAUUUAAUUUAAUUUACAAUAACAAGAGGGCCCCCGAAUAAACAAAAGUAAAGAGGACUGUGAACCUACGGUUUGGAAAAUGCAGAUCCAAUGGUAGUCCUCGAUGAGAUCAGCUAUCUACAGUCUAUACUGAACCUGAAAUGGGUGGAAAGGAGUUGGGUGAGAUUUUGCAAUCCCAAUGAGUAAACAGACAUUAUCAUAAAUAUCUAAAGGCGAGUAAAAUGGAGGCAAGUUUAAACAACAAAUUUCAACCCAUUUCAUAAUGUUUUCAAUUUAUUUCUUAAACCAUAAAAUAUUUGUAAUUUACCAAAACAGUUGUUAAGGCUUAUGUCUUUUAUUAAAACAAGGCUCAAGCCAAAACUAAUCCUCGGGGAUACCUUGGCCGAGGCAUCUAACCGAGUCCGCCAAGGGUGUUAAAAUAUUCACACGUGAAACACAUUUUUAUUUUUAAAACCAGCCGUUCCUUGGCGUUGGCCGAGUUACACAUUCACGUGGGGGUUCGACGUGAAGUGAGCUCUAAUACUACCCCGGGAGUUACCCUCCUCGCCUCUACAACCGGAGUAACUAUAUAACUGGGUUUACCGUGCCCCUCUAAUAGGCAGUCCACGGAAACCCGUCACUGCAGUGACUAACCCACCAAUUUUAAUAAAAUUUCGACAGUAUAACGUGGCUUUUAUUUAUUUAUCCAGCCUGCAUAGUAAAACAACUUACAUAAAUUUCCCAAUGCAUUCACAAAAUAUAGCCACAUAUACUCAUUUCUCAUAAGCCAUUCCUAGGAAAAUAUAUAUUUUUCAAGUCAAUUUGUAGCCUCCAAUUACUCAAUUUCAUAAUCAAUACAAUAUAUUUUUAUUUGUCACAUUUAUUCCUAAAACAUCAAAAAUCCCGUUUUAAUCUCGUUCUCAUUUCAUAAAAUACAUAAAGGGCAUUUAAAAUAAACUCUAGAUAAUUUACAAUAAUAAUAAGUUUACUCACCGUUUGUACAAACUAAAAGCUUUCUAAGCGCCCCGAUCACUACUCGUCGGGUACGACUUCUUUGCCUUUUCCGGAAGGCUCUCCUCCUAGACACAUUACAAAAAUUUACACAAUUCAUCACAUUGAUGCUAAAUCACUAUAUAAUUAACUUAAAUCCUAUACUAAUGCAUGGUAUGAAAUGCAAUAGCCUAAAACGGCUUAAACGCGGUAUUAACCUAUUUUUGGCACUUUGCCCGAUAAAUUGCUAACGCGCUCCAUUUUAGCUCUAAAUCAUCCCAUUCUCUCUCCAACAUUUCUAACCAUUAAAUAUCAGCCAAUAACCUUCUAAAAACAACAAAAUCAGCUCACUCCCUUCCUUGGAAAAUUCGGCCAAAAAUGGGACAUUAACUCGGUUAAUUUUCUACUUUGUUUUUCUAUCACGUUUAAUCGUUUUUCAUCAUUUUCUCUUCAUUUCCCUUAGAAUAAAAUCAAUUCAUCAUCAUUGUACAGCAUUGAGCAUCCAGCCAAGAGUGGGUAUUGUGAAAAUUUAAUGAUUUCUUGCCCAAUUUAAUUUCUAAACACAUUUAACUAACUAAAACUAUCAAUUUAACUAAAAAUCAAAACCUAAAAAUUUCAAUUUCUCUCCCCUAGAAUUUCGUCCAGCCCUUGAUAUCACUUUUUGAUCUCUCUCCUCAAGCAUGCUAAAUGGAAAUAAAGGCAUAGGAAAGGUAGAAAUCAAGCUAAAAUCGAAAAAUCUUACCGUUAGACGCGUAAACGGUCGAAAACCGUGAAUUUCCCUUUGAAUUUUCUUGUUUCUCUUUGGUUUUUCUUUUUUUCUUCCUUUCCUCUCUAUUUCCUCUCUUGUUCUUCC